UGGCAAGCGUUGUCCGGAAUUAAUGGGUGUAAAGGGAGCGCAGGCGGGAAGCCAAGUCAGCUGUGAAAACUACGGGCUUAACUUGUAGACUGCAGUUGAAACUGGUUUUCUUGAGUGAAGUAGAGGUAGGCGGAAUUCCGAGUGUAGCGGUGAAAUGCGUAGAUAUUCGGAGGAACACCGGUGGCGAAGGCGGCCUACUGGGCUUUAACUGACGCUGAGGCUCGAAAGUGUGGGGAGC
rnacentral:rRNA from 1 species